AUCACAGCUGGUACAGAUGGUCACUCUAUUCCUCUAAUUAAUUAAUUAAUGAAGGUCAAAUGCCAUCUGGCCCUGAGCUUCCUAAACACUAAUGAUCCAUAAGUAACAGGAGGGAUAAAAGGUUUCUCUCAAGUAUCUUUUUCAAAACACUAAUUUUUCCUCUUCACUUAAUCCUAGCACUUCUCUUUCAGUAGAACAGUAGUGCUCUUAUGUAUGAGCGCAGAUAGUUUCCCUGGAAUCAGUAGUGCUGUUUUAUAGAUAAACACUCAUGAUUAUGACAUGGUGGUAAACUGAAAUAUAGUUUAGUUAAUUUGUUAGGAAUAACAGUUUCUGCCUUAUCUGGUCAUAAAAGCAAUGAUAAACUCUAAUUAAGUCACAUAUUAAAACAAGUCUAAAA